GCAUGGGUUCAUACAGUGGCACGACGACCCAACAUCUUCAUUUAUGUGUGUAUUGCUCGGAGAUCUUCCAGAUAGGGUAUGGAAGCUAGAGGAUGAUGUUGCAGCAUUAUGUACAAAUGGAGAUGCAGGUGCUGGUGCAUUGCGUGUGGAAAUGCAGAAGAGAACAGAACAAAGUGCAGGAGAUGGUGGAGCUGGUGCUUCAAUUAGAG
rnacentral:lncRNA from 1 species